rnacentral:tRNA from 1 species
CAGGGCCGUAGCGCAGAGGUGGUCGCGUCCGUCUCCGGAACGGAAGAACGCCGGUUCGAAUCCGGUCGGCACUGCCC